rnacentral:rRNA from 1 species
UACGGGGGGUGCGAGCGUUGUCCGGAAUCACUGGGCGUAAAGGGCGCGUAGGUGGUCUGAUAAGGGUGUGGUGAAAGCCCGGGGCUCAACCCCGGGUCGGCCGUGCCGACUGUUAGACUAGAGUACUGUAGGGGCAGGCGGAAUUCCGGGUGUAGCGGUGGAAUGCGUAGAGAUCCGGAGGAAGACCGGUGGCGAAGGCGGUUCUCUGGGCCUGUACUGACGCUGAGGAGCGAAAGCGUGGGGAGCGAACAGG